rnacentral:rRNA from 2 species
CUAUACAUGCAAGUCGAACGCUUUAANUUCACCGGGUGCUUGCACCCAUCGAAGUUAAGGAGUGGCGGACGGGUGAGUAACACGUGGGUAACCUGCCCAUAAGAGGGGGAUAACAUUCGGAAACGGAUGCUAAUACCGCAUAUUUCUAAUCGUCUCCUGACGAAUGGAAGAAAGGUGGCUUCGGCUACCGCUUAUGGAUGGACCCGCGGCGUAUUAGCUAGUUGGUGAGGUAAUGGCUCACCAAGGCGAUGAUACGUAGCCGACCUGAGAGGGUGAUCGGCCACACUGGGACUGAGACACGGCCCAGACUCCUACGGGAGGCAGCAGUAGGGAAUCUUCCGCAAUGGACGAAAGUCUGACGGAGCAAUGCCGCGUGAGUGAAGAAGGUUUUCGGAUCGUAAAACUCUGUUGUUAGAGAAGAACAAGGAUGAGAGUAACUGCUCAUCCCCUGACGGUAUCUAACCAGAAAGCCACGGCUAACUACGUGCCAGCAGCCGCGGUAAUACGUAGGUGGCAAGCGUUGUCCGGAUUUAUUGGGCGUAAAGCGAGCGCAGGCGGUUCUUUAAGUCUGAUGUGAAAGCCCCCGGCUCAACCGGGGAGGGUCAUUGGAAACUGGAGAACUUGAGUGCAGAAGAGGAGAGUGGAAUUCCACGUGUAGCGGUGAAAUGCGUAGAUAUGUGGAGGAACACCAGUGGCGAA